rnacentral:lncRNA from 1 species
GCCCUAUGAAUAAACGGAACAGUAGUUCACUGCUGUUUAAAAGUCAUUAAACGAUUGAGAAAAAAAUCCGGGUUACAAAACUAAAACCGAGGGAAACACAUCAACUAUAAGAGGAAAACAACGAAACAACAGAACACUGACGUGUAAAAAAAAUACCCGAUUGGACGCAAUCGGUAAAUUUACAGAUCAGGCGACUAUUCUGGUAGAUAGAAGACUAUCACUUGUGAUAUUAGACACAGAAACCGUGUAUCUGGUAAUCAAUUUCCGAUGAUGACAAUUAGACGUUUAUAAUGUGGAUUUAGUAAUUCUUCCUUAUGACCUGCUGCAGCAGUUUCUGUGUCAUGGACAAACUCCGUGUAAUGAAGUUCGUAUAAUCUAAAAUUACGAGUUACACCAUUUAGAUAAAUU